rnacentral:rRNA from 1 species
AACGAACGCUGGCGGCAUGCCUAACACAUGCAAGUCGAACGAGACCUUCGGGUCUAGUGGCGCACGGGUGCGUAACGCGUGGGAACUUGCCCUUAGGUUCGGAAUAACUCCCCGAAAGGGGUGCUAAUACCGGAUAAUGUCUUCGGACCAAAGAUUUAUCGCCUUUGGAUGGGCCCGCGUUGGAUUAGCUAGUUGGUAGGGUAAAAGCCUACCAAGGCGACGAUCCAUAGCUGGUCUGAGAGGAUGAUCAGCCACACUGGGACUGAGACACGGCCCAGACUCCUACGGGAGGCAGCAGUGGGGAAUAUUGGGCAAUGGGCGAAAGCCUGAUCCAGCAAUGCCGCGUGAGUGAUGAAGGCCUUAGGGUUGUAAAGCUCUUUUACCCGGGAUGAUAAUGACAGUACCGGGAGAAUAAGCUCCGGCUAACUCCGUG